GUCGAGGGGCAGCAUGGACCCAGUUUUGCUGGGUUUGAUGGCGACCGGCGCACGGGUGAGUAACGCGUAUCCACCUGCCCUUUACUCCGGGAUAGUCUCCUGAAAGGGAGUUUAAUACCGGAUGUGUUUGUCUUUCCGCAUGGGAGCGACAAAUAAAGAUUAAUUGGUAAAGGAUGGGGAUGCGUCUCAUUAGCUUGUUGGCGGGGUAACGGCCCACCAAGGCGACGAUGGGUAGGGGUUCUGAGAGGAAGGUCCCCCACAUUGGAACUGAGACACGGUCCAAACUCCUACGGGAGGCAGCAGUGAGGAAUAUUGGUCAAUGGGCGGGAGCCUGAACCAGCCAAGUAGCGUGAAGGACGACGGCCCUACGGGUUGUAAACUUCUUUUAUAAGGGAAUAAAGUUCGCCACGUGUGGUGUUUUGUAUGUACCUUAUGAAUAAGCAUCGGCUAAUUCCGUGCCAGCAGCCGCGGUAAUACGGAAGAUGCGAGCGUUAUCCGGAUUUAUUGGGUUUAAAGG
rnacentral:rRNA from 1 species